rnacentral:tRNA from 1 species
GCCUUCGUGAUGGAACUGGUAGACUUGCUGGUUUUAGGAACCAGUGCCUUGCGGCGUAUCGGUUCGAAUCCGAUCGAAGGCA